rnacentral:misc_RNA from 1 species
GUGAAUCAUCAAAUUUUUGAACGCAAAUUGCACUCUCUUCGGAGAGUAUGCCUGUUUGAGGGUCAGUAUUAAUAAAAAUCGGUGUGUUGCUUCUUUUUGACGCUCCGGAGUUUGGGUCAUCUUAAUAUCCUUUAGGUUUUAAGAGGCUUAAAAUUGACUUUUUUUGCGCAUUUUAGAUGUACAUAAAUUCUUUUUUUUAUUCGUCUGUCUUAAUGCCAAAAUCUUUGUAGAUGCUAUCACAUCGUUUGUUUUCGUUUCCAUAAAAUUUU